AUUGAACGCUGGCGGCAGGCCUAACACAUGCAAGUCGAGCGGUAGAGAGGUGCUUGCAUCUCUUGAGAGCGGCGGACGGGUGAGUAAUGCCUAGGAAUCUGCCUGGUGGUGGGGGAUAACGUUCGGAAACGGACGCUAAUACCGCAUACGUCCUACGGGAGAAAGCGGGGGAUCUUCGGACCUCGCGCCAUUAGAUGAGCCUAGGUCGGAUUAGCUAGUUGGUGAGGUAAUGGCUCACCAAGGCGACGAUCCGUAACUGGUCUGAGAGGAUGAUCAGUCACACUGGAACUGAGACACGGUCCAGACUCCUACGGGAGGCAGCAGUGGGGAAUAUUGGACAAUGGGCGCAAGCCUGAUCCAGCCAUGCCGCGUGCAGGAUGACGGUCCUAUGGAUUGUAAACUGCUUUUGUACAGGAAGAAACCCUUUCACGUGUGGAAGAUUGACGGUACUGUAAGAAUAAGGAUCGGCUAACUCCGUG
rnacentral:rRNA from 1 species